rnacentral:rRNA from 1 species
GUAGUCCACGCCGUAAACGAUGGGUACUAGGCGCUGGGGGGAGCGACCCCUCCGGUGCCGUCGCUAACGCAGUAAGUACCCCGCCUGGGGAGUACGGCCGCAAGGCUGAAACUCAAAGGAAUUGACGGGGGCCCGCACAAGCGGUGGAGCAUGUGGUUCAAUUCGAAGCAACGCGAAGAACCUUACCUGGGCUUGACAUGCACGGGAAAGCCGGUGGAAACAUCGGCCCCUCUUCGGAGUCCGUGCACAGGUGCUGCAUGGCUGUCGUCAGCUCGUGUCGCGAGAUGUUGGGUUAAGUCCCGCAACGAGCGCAACCCUUGUCCCUAGUUACCAGCGGGUUAAGCCGGGCACUCUAGGGAGACUGCCGGUGUCAAACCGGAGGAAGGUGGGGACGACGUCAAGUCAUCAUGGCCCUUACGUCCAGGGCGACACACGUGCUACAAUGGCCGGUACAGAGCGUCGCCAACUCGCAAGAGUGCGCCAAUCGCCAAAAGCCGGUCUAAGUUCGGAUUGUGGUCUGCAACUCGACCACAUGAAGCUGGAAUCGCUAGUAAUCGUGGAUCAGCCACGCCACGGUGAAUACGUUCCCGGGCCUUGUACACACCGCCCGUCACGCCAUGGAAGCUGGGGGGACCUGAAGUCGGUGGGCUAACCGCAAGGAGGCAGCCGCCAAAGGUCAAUUCAGUGACUGGGGCG